rnacentral:tRNA from 1 species
GCCUCAGUAGCUCAAUUGGUAGAGCACUCGCCUUGUAAGCGAAAGGUUGCCGGUUCGAGUCCGGCCCGAGGCUCCA